AUCAUCUAAUCGAGAAAAAAUCGCCUCCCGUUACCUCAACCUCUUCGACUCCUCGUCCUGCGCCUGCUUGACUCGUCUUCCACAACACGACCCGCUGCCGCCGAGGCGAGGAGGAAGGAGAUUGGUGAUGGCGGCCGUGGGAUGCUCCAAGGCGAUCGGCGAGUUCACCCCAAGGAACAUCCCAACUUCGAGCCGGCGACUCUCCCAACGACAGACACCGGCGCGGCUUAUGGUCUUGUGGUGGAUUCCCUUGCCGCUAGGGUGUUCACGGUUGGGGGAUAAAAAGGGGCGGUGGAGCCAGGGGAGCGCCGCCCCGACGGCGAGCCACCGUCGCGCCCCGCGGCGCCUGCACGUACCCACACUCCACCGUGCUGAGCCGGCAGCGCACCGCGCCUUGCCCACGCGUCACGUGCCCCCCGAAUCGUAGUCGUGCUCCCCAGCGCUGCCACGUCUCGUCCUUGGAACUCCGGCACGGCAGCGUACGGCUCCUCCACGUCUCCAACGACCCGACCACCGCAACGUGUGAAAAUUGAAGAAAGUGUUGACAAGAUUGUGGUGAUUUGAAAGUUUAUGGGAUAGAGCUUCAAAGGUUGUGGUCAGGGUCUGUACAUGCUUUGUCGCCUUGCUCUCCCUAUUCCCCUCCGGCAGUAGAUCCUGGAGCAGCUAUGGUUCUCUCCUAGGUAGUGUUCAUCCUGGUUCCAAUCUAUUUCUUCAAGCAAAUCUUUGAGGCUGGGAGGGACGUGCUAUCAACUGUUCAAAAUCCUGUGAACCAAAGCUAAAUCAGUAGCUAAAUGGAGCUGGGAUGGCCUCAGUUUGCACGCUCAUCGAUCCAUCAUCUCAAGCAUCAUUUUCCCCCCAGCUGAUCCUAUUCAGUAUGUUGUCUUUUGUCUUGGUCUUUAUCUAAUUGUGAUUGGUACCGCUGGAAUAAACCCAUGCUUCUCAUGGAUUUGAUGAUGCAGCUCCAGCUUAUAAUCCAGAAAGUGUAUCUGGUUCUAUUUUCUAAUAGAGAUAUGUGCUCUUAUAUCAACAAUUUUCUGGUCUAGGUGCAACACAGCUUAGGAGUUAUUCAUGGGCUUGGCCAUUAUAAGCUUCUCCUCUAAUACGUCAUUUUAUAGGUUCUCAAGCCAAGGAAGCCAAGUAAUUUCUGCCACUUUGCACAAGUGGAUUGUACAUGUUUUAAAAGACUACUCUCUCUUACUCGCUCCGAUCAAUAUUAAUUGUCUCAAAUUUGCCCAAAUAUAGAUGUAUCUAUGCCUAAAAAGCAUCUAGAUACAUGUAACAUUUCGACAAUUAAUAUGGAUCGGAGGGAGUAUAUGAAUUAUCUGACAUAUUUUCAGCGAUCAAAGAACGUCAACAAUUGGAGCACACAAUUGAACUCAUACGGGCGCAGCAACGCGGGCCAUCAUGAUCUAGUUUUCCAUAAGAAUGACUCCAGUGCAUCCAACCAAGUCAGACACAAAACGUAACCGUUUGGCGAUACGGACACCCCAGGAGGGUCAGGAGAGGACGAAUGGAGCAUAAGGGAGGACAACGCAGUGUACAUGGGUUUUCUGUCAAAUUUGGGUUAGAAAUAGACCACACCGGACAGAAAAAGCAGACGGCCGUUGAAAUGGGUCGCCGAGUUGGGGUGUUGUCCGCAUGGAGAAACGGACUCGCCGGUCCAAAUGCGUCACCCUGGUAGAGCCGCCUGACAUCGGGGUAGUGACCGCUGUACAACUAGAAUUGAUGAAGAGGACACGAGACUUGUCAGAUGGAAUUAGCUUCUGAACAUCAGGUAGUGUUUUGGUUGAUAGUAAGGCGGAAUGAAAUGUAAUGAUUUUGUUUUUAUAGUUUGGUCUUUUUGGUCCGCGUUCCCUAAUCUCGGGUGACAUGUCUUCUUCAAGAUCGUUUGCUACAGCCGUCUCUUGUGGUGGGGCUGUUGCAGCCAUGUGAAGAUGUUGAGUUGGUGGUUGACACCUCCGUUGUAGGGGUGGACACUUUAAACCUGAAGACCGAACCGAAACCAAAUUAAUCGAAUUUUCGGUCUAUUUGGUGUGA